GACGAACGCUGGCGGCGUGCCUAAUACAUGCAAGUAGAACGCACAGUUUAUACCGUAGCUUGCUACACCAUAAACUGUGAGUUGCGAACGGGUGAGUAACGCGUAGGUAACCUGCCUGGUAGCGGGGGAUAACUAUUGGAAACGAUAGCUAAUACCGCAUAAUAUUAAUUAUUGCAUGAUAAUUGGUUGAAAGAUGCAAUUGCAUCACUACCAGAUGGACCUGCGUUGUAUUAGCUAGUAGGUGAGGUAACGGCUCACCUAGGCGACGAUACAUAGCCGAACCUGAGAGGGGGAUCGGCAACCCUGGGACUGAGCCACGGCCCAGCUCCCAACGGGAGGAAGCAGAGGGGAAUCUUCGGCAAUGGACGAAAGUCUGACCGGCCAACGCCGGGGGAGGGAAGAAGGUUUUCGGAUCGUAAAGCCUUGUGGUAAGGGAAGAACGGGGGUGGGAGUGGAAGGUUCAAACGGGGACGGAAUCUUACAAGAAAGGAACGGCUACUACGUG
rnacentral:rRNA from 1 species